AUGGCAGAUCCAGGUGUUGAAGCAGUUGCUCUGCCAAUCGUGCCUUGUCCGGAUUGCGGCAGGAACGUGAUGACAUACGUAGCGCGGCGCGGUCAGAAUGCCGGCCAGCGUUUCUACAAGUGCUGGAAUCACAACGUGGGAAGAGGCGUACGCGGCGCAUGUGGCGACUCGUGGACAAGCAGCACCUGCAGUCGGGCAAAUCGGGGCAGUGCAGAUGCAAGGCGGGCAGGCGGAUGGAGCUCAAGUUGUGCAGGCGCCUCACGUUCAGCCGGGGCAGCAAAACGGAGCACCGGAGGCGUGCAGGCUGCAUCUUUUGCAAGCGCGGUCGCAGGAUACAUGCUUGCGGCGGCUCCAGUUGCGGGUCGUCAGGGUCCCGCAGUGUAUCGAAGUUGCUUCUCAGAGCAGGAACUAUGGGGUUCAGCUCCUCUGCAGUUGAACUACUACUGCACGCGUGCUGUAGACGUUCAUAUCGCCCGUCAAUUCCCAUCUGGCCGCUCGCAUUUUACCUACUUAAUCCUGUUAACAAAAAAGCCUUCAUGUACACAGAUAAGUGCUUCCGUUCACACUGCACACCACGCACUAACUAGACUGGAGAGCAAACAGGCUGAGGCAGGCGCGAGCAGACGACCUUGCCGCCGGCGAGGGUUCGUAUCUCCGGCCAAGCGCACUCCCUCCCCGAGCGACGGUCCGGCGGAUGGACCUCCAUGCCCGCCUGCUGCACCGCGGCUGUGUCCCCGGCUUGCCCAGGAUCUGCCGCCAGGCACCGUUCCUUGGCCUCACCAGCCGAUGCCGUCCCCUGGGGCUCGCCGGCCGACGCCGUCGACCGCAGGUACGUGGGAGCACUCCACCGUACUCAGGCUGGCUGUGCCGUCCGACGCCCUCCACCUUGAUGGAAGCUGCCCGCUUCCUCCAGCCGCUCGCCGAUGGGGAUCUGCCGGCCCCGCGCCGCCACUGCCCAGGAAGGAGCUAUUCCUCCUCCUCUCCGGCGUGUGGGAGUCCGCCGUGCAGGCGCUUCUCGAGCUCGGGAGAGGCACAGGAGAAGGAAGGCAAAAAGGAGAUCAUCUACAUUAA
rnacentral:rRNA from 1 species